UGGAUGGAACACUGAUAUACAUGACUCAAAACAGCAUCAAUUAUUUUGGGGAUGGCAGUUUCCACAUUCCUACUUAUAUUUUGAAUGUAAUAAAACUUACAGCAAUUUAAUUUUGCAUAUACUGCUCAUUACUGUAUAAGAUAGUGUAAAGUUGUACUGGGUAGCAGAGAGCAGCUUAGGAUAUACAAUUUUCUUCUCAUAAUUCACACAGUUUUCAGAGACUAUAUUCUGACAGAGACUGAAUGUAGUGAAAACACAUCUUUCAAUGCUUAAUUUCAUCUAAAGAAGCUCUGACAAAUACAUGAAUUGAAAUUUAGUGUAUCAAGUAGAACACUUAGACAAUGGGCAUCCAGGGUGUCAGAAGAGGUAGGAAAAGCACCUUCACAGAGUCUUGAGAAAUGGGGAUGGUCACCAAAAUAUGGUACAAUAGGUGAUUUGACCAUAGUGGGAGUUCUUACAAAAUCCUAACAAACUAUCACUUAUGCAUUGGAUGUUGCUUAGAAUUUCAAGCAUAUGGAAUGCUCAGUCACCACAGUGGUUUCCAUGCCAGUUCACCGCAGUAGAACAGAGAGAGCAUCAGGUACAUUUCUAAGGUGUCUGACUCCAAGCCCUGGCUCCUAGACAGCAGACCUAAAACUUUUAAAUAAUUUAAACAUUUGCCUCUAACAAUAGGCCAAAAAUCCACUUUUAAAAACGAUUACCCUGACAACUACUAGAAUAACCAAAAUAAUUUUUUAAACCAGCCAUUUAAGAAUUAGAGGAGACAGCACUGAUUGCAGUGACAGAAGCGGUGCCAGCUAACUCCCCACCAUCAAAAGUAUCUUCUGCUGUAGCCUGGCACAAGUUUCAAGCAUCCACUGGGGGUCUUGGGAUGUGUCGCCCUGCAGAUAAGGGCAACUGCUGUGCAGCAUGAACAGUAUGGAGACAAUACUUAUCUUCAUGGAGUUUAUAUUAGAGUAAGACAAGAGGUAGGAGACUGCCUAUUUUAUUGUUCUCUUGAAAAGACUGGGUAUUUUACUUUUAUGAAAGGCUUUAUAGCCUGCAGGGGCAUUCUAAUAUGGAUUUUGGGGGUGAAGAGACAAAUAGGUGUGGAAAGUAAGUUCAGGGGUUCAGAGACCCAUAGGUUUUUUAAAAGAGAAGUCAGGGGAAGGUCUCUUAAGGUAGUAGUGGAGUCCAAAUUAUUCUAUGUCCCUUGUAGCUCCUACCCUUUGUAUGCAGUAGUUUUUUUUUUAAAUCGAAGACGGGGGAAGGUCUCUUAAGGUAAUAGUAGAGACCAAAUUAUUCUAUC
rnacentral:lncRNA from 1 species